GACCACUUCACGAUAGAAGUUAAGGCCAUACGGACAGCCGGGUCCACUGCCGA
rnacentral:sRNA from 1 species